rnacentral:tRNA from 1 species
GGCCAGUUAGCUCAGUCAUUGAGCGUGGCGCUAACAACACUAAGGUCACGGGUUCGAUUCCCGUUCGGUCCC